AACGAACGCUGGCGGCACGUUUUAAGCAUGCAAGUCGAAUGGCAGUGGGGGCAACCCCAUAAGAAUGGCGAACGGGUGAGUAACACGUAGGUGAUCUGCCUGACGGUCGGGGAUAGCUUGUGGAAACACAGGGUAAUACCGAAUGAGCUGACGACGCUUUGGCGAUGUUAGUAAAGGUGCUACGGCACCGCCGACAGAGGAGCCUGCGGCUGAUUAGCUAGUUGGUGGGGUAAAGGCCUACCAAGGCGACGAUCAGUAGCCGGCCUGAGAGGGUGUACGGCCACACUGGGACUGAGACACGGCCCAGACUCCUACGGGAGGCAGCAGCUAAGAAUCUUCCGCAAUGGGCGAAAGCCUGACGGAGCGAUGCCGCGUGAUCGAUGAAGGUCGAGAGAUUGUAAAGAUCUUUUCCACAUGAGGAAUAAGGAUCGGAGGGAAUGCCGGUUUGAUGACGUUAGUGUGGGAAUAAGCCCCGGCUAAUUACGUGCCAGCCGCCGCAGUAA
rnacentral:rRNA from 1 species